GCACGGGUGAGUAAUAUAUAGCUAACUUGCCCAUUACUAAGGGACAACAGUUGGAAACGACUGCUAAUACCUUAUACUCCGUAUCUAUAUAAGUAGAUACGGGAAAGUUUUUCGGUAAUGGAUAGGGCUAUAUCGUAUCAGCUAGUUGGUAAGGUAACGGCUUACCAAGGCUAUGACGCGUAACUGGUCUGAGAGGAUGAUCAGUCACACUGGAACUGAGACACGGUCCAGACUCC
rnacentral:rRNA from 1 species